AUAUGAGUUUUCUCAGAAUGUUUCUCAGCUUGUUGUGACUCUGGUUUCACUGUUUCCUUGGCUGGUACACUUAUACCAGUUCGCUCUGAAGGUUUCUCAGCUUGUGAUUCUAGUUUCACUGUUUCCUUGGCUGGUUGACUUAUACCAGUUCGUUCUGAAGGUUUCUCAGCUUGUGAUUCUAGUUUCACUGUUUCCUUGGCUGGUUCACUUAUACCAGUUCUUUCUGAAGGUUUCUCGGUUUGUGAUCCUAGUUUCAUUGUCUCCUUUGCUGAUUCACUUAUACCAGAACGCUCUGAAGGUUUCUCAGCUUGUGAUCCUAGUUUCACUGUCUCCUUUGCUGAUUCACUUAUACUAGUUCCCUUUGAAGGUUGCUCCGCUUCUGAUUCUAAUUUCACUGUUUUCUUGGGUGGUUCACUUAUACUAGUUACCUCUGAAGGUUUCUCCGCUUCUGAUUUUAGUUUCACUGUUUCCUUGGCCGGUACACUUAUAAUAGUUACCUCUGAAG
rnacentral:lncRNA from 1 species